UUGUUAUUCUUCUUCCUCGUUAUUGCGAUUGACCUUUAUUCGAUCUUCUCUCUCAAACCCAAACCUACAUCGAUUGACCCGUAGACAUUCUUCACCCCUUUGAUUUCAAUUGCAUUGAAGAAGGAACGAUUGAAGCUGAUUUAAUCACUUCUCCAAUGGUGGUGGUGAUAGGAUUCAUUGAGAUUUAGUUCUACGAAGGAUGGAGAAGCAGGCGAGAGAGUAUUAUUGGAGAUUCUAAGAUUAGCGAUGCAUUGUUCCAAAGGACAUCGUACAAUUUGAUAUGGCCAUUUUCUCUUCUACAGAGUUGGAGGAGCUCUAUCGCCUUAUCAAUUCGAAUGUUAAGCAUUUUUAGCACCUAUAAUGCGGUAAACUAGCCUUUUCGUAUCUCCGUACAUUUAUUGUUGAUACGAUUCGAUUGUGACUCGCUAUUAUAAUUGGCUAUAGAAAAAAAAUAAUUCAAAAUCAGCUGCUCAUAAUAUAACUGAAGACUGCCUUCAAGAAGAAAAUGCAAAAAGGUAAUUUGUUAGCUAUAUAAAUUUGAGAGGAUAAUGGGUUUAUGAAAGAUCCCCUUUUUUAUUAUGAUCAAUUGUAAUUGUUCUAAGUUUAAUGUUUGGGUAACUGAUCUCAAAGCACAUUAAGCGAAGACUUGUACAAGCUAUUGUCGAAAAGGAGCCCUAUGAGGGAAUAGUUUUGUAUUUAGAAAAAGUGACCCACAAAGUUUAUUUCAACAUAGAGAUCGAGGAAAAGCCCAUUGGUUGCAUAAUUAUGGGUAUCUUUGGAGAAGCAGUUCCUAAAACCAUUGGUAGGCUUUUCUUUUUUUUGAAGGGACCAUUGGUGGGCUUCUAAAUACAAUUUAAGUAGUAUCUUUCUUAACAUUGUUGUGAUCAAAUUGUUCUUCGUUCUGUACAUAGUCACUAAUUCUAUACUAUUGGUUUUUCUUAUUGUUCUUCUUAUUAUGAUAGAAUUGAUCAUUGAAUAUCUUUUCUCACAUAAAUUUGAUUGAACGAAAAUACUUAUCUUUCAUUGUACGCAUUUAAUCUUGAUUCAUACUGCUCUCAAACUAUUCAAUUUUUUUUAAAUUAAAUUACAUGUAUAUGUUUAUCCAAUUGAGAUAUAUUCUUUUAAAAUUGAAACGAAAUAGGGACCCUUCUGUCUGGUUGGUUCUCCUAUUCACUGUUUUAGGGGUGAGUGGUUGUUUUACCAAUCACGCUUUCUCUGAAACUAUUGUAGUUAAUGGAGCAUGAUCGGGAUCUUUUUGGCUUCAAGCAGAUAAAUUUAAAUUACCUUUCUCGUUAUUAUGUUCAUAAAAGCUAGACAAUAUAUAUAGUUGGUCUUCACCCAUUAUUAUUAAUGGUGUUGCCACUUUGAAUAGAUGUGAGUAAGGAAUUAGAAAAGUAAUCCUUCAAAUCAUUGUAUUAAUUGAUCGAUUCUUGUAACUUUUGAUCUUUUUCUGUUUAAAAUCUUGCAUGGAAUGAUACAAUCUACAAAGCAGAGCUUGAAUGGUCUUCUUGGAGCACCAGGUUAGAAUUAGCCUUUACGACUCCAAGUAGCAAUACUAAUCAAAUUUGUUUGUUUACUUUGCCAAAUUCAUUGUUAUGGAAUUAUUCAUCAAAUGAAACGAUUUACUAUUUGCCAAUCUACAUGUCUGCUUGAUAUCAAUCAAUGUAAAGAUUCAAAUCUAAGAGCACUAAAACUAGCAAACAGAAAAUAAAAAAAUACAUUUGCAAUGCUGGGUUUGGUCCAUUAUGUAAAGAAUCCUAAUAAAUUGAGCAUGGUUUGCUUUUUAAAUAGGCAGGUGACUUCAACAAGACAGAAGCAUUGUUUUCUUCAAUUUUUAAAUGUAGUUUAUUAAUUAGAAUGAUAUC